UACGUAGGGGGCAAGCGUUGUCCGGAAUCAUUGGGCGUAAAGCGCGUGUAGGCGGUCCGGUAAGUCCGCUGUGAAAGCCGGGGGCUCAACCCUCGGAUGCCGGUGGAUACUGUCGGGCUUGAGUACGGAAGAGGCGAGUGGAAUCCUGGUGUAGCGGUGAAAUGCGCAGAUAUCAGGAGGAACACCAAUUGCGAAGGCAGCUCGCUGGGACGUUACUGACGCUGAGACGCGAAAGCGUGGGGAGCAAACAGG
rnacentral:rRNA from 1 species